UUAGGUUCUUCAUUGUCCGGGUAACACACCUAUAGGGAAAAGAGAGAGCUACCGAUGAUGUCGAAACAACAUAUCUGUAAACUACAGUGGUGGAGCAAUGCGAUUUUGGUGACGACAAGCUCAAUCGUGGUGGUUGCGAAUCCGGUCACUGAUCUCUGUUGCAGUUAUGUUGAUGCCCUUAAGUUGUUGUUGUUGGGUUUGUGGUGGGUCAUAUUUACCCCGAAGCACAGAGUGUGGGGCUGAGCAGUGCAACCAUAGAGUUUCUGAAAGGUGUCUUUAAAUUGUUAGACACAGAUAAGGUAUUUUAUGUGUUAGAGCUUAUGCGUCGAAGUCGGUGUUGAUGCAAUUUUCAGUUGAUUCACUAUUGCUGUUGUGGUUUAAUCACAAAGAUCAAAGUACGUUACCGUCGGGAAACUACUCAGGUACGAUGUCAUUG